rnacentral:rRNA from 1 species
GAUGAACGCUAGCUACAGGCUUAACACAUGCAAGUCGCGGGGCAGCAUGGGGGUUGCUUGCAAUCCCCGAUGGCGACCGGCGCACGGGUGAGUAACGCGUAUUCAACCUGCCCUUCACCACGGGAUAACCCGGCGAAAGUCGGACUAAUACCGUAUGUUGUCCAUUGACGGCAUCCGAUUUGGACGAAAGGCUUGGCGGUGAGGGAUGGGGAUGCGUCCGAUUAGCCAGACGGCGGGGUAACGGCCCACCGUGGCUACGAUCGGUAGGGGUUCUGAGAGGAAGGUCCCCCACACUGGAACUGAGACACGGUCCAGACUCCUACGGGAGGCAGCAGCGAGGAAUAUUGGUCAAUGGGCGUAAGCCUGAACCAGCCAAGUAGCGUGCAGGAUGACGGCCCUAUGGGUUGUAAACUGCUUUUAUGCGGGGAUAAAGUGGCCCACGUGUGGGCUUUUGCAGGUACCGCAUGAAUAAGGACCGGCUAAUUCCGU